UUUUAAAAAAAAGGAAAAGAGAAAAAACGAAGGUGAAAUUACUAGAAUCACCUGCUAGGAGCUAGGGUUUGUUACCACCCUAUAAAUAUAAGACGAGGCCGCAUUUGCACCGUGGAGGCGGCGGAAGACGAGAUAAAGAGAGAGUCGGCGGUGAAUUUUGAGCAAGCAUGAGGGCAAAGUGGAAGAAGAAGCGUAUGAGGAGACUGAAAAGGAAGCGCAGAAAGAUGAGACAGAGAUCUAAGUAGAGCAGCAGCAGGGGUCCAGAUGCCUACUGUGGUUUCUUGGUUGAAACUGCUGCUUUUUACAAUCGCUGUCCAUCUCUGUGGCAGCUCCAAAGAAUGGAGGUUGUCCGUUGUUUGAAGCUGUGCAUUAGUUAAUUUACUAUGUUCUAUGAAGGAGCUUAGUUUUAGUUUUAAGCAUUGGUAGUAAGAAUGUUGGUUUGUGUUUUCGUGGUAACUCACUAGUUUUGUCAACUAAGGAUAUAUGUGAGUGAUAUUGAAUGUUCUCUUUCAAGCUGACGUUAUUAAGAGGAUUUCUCUUUGUUUGGGGUUACAUUUCAUUUGAAUAAAUUUUGGCUUUGAACGUUAUUAC